GGCCAGAUGAAGAAUAACUGCAAUUCAGGCCAUCCCAGGCAAAUGCUUUCGGUGCACAAGGAUCACCCAUCCAGUUUUUCUUCAGCAUGUACGUCGUGCGAAUUUCCAUCAUGGCUUUGGCUGUUAAUAUGGAAAAAGGAGAAGCACUGUGUUGUAGUGUUACAUACCGUCUCCAUUGUCCGUACCAAGCUCAGUCA